rnacentral:rRNA from 1 species
AAACUUUACAAUGCGGGAAACCGUGAUAAGGGAAUCUCGAGUGCCAGCAUAUAAUGUUGGCUGCCUGGAUGCCUAAAAAGCAUCUGUUAGCAAGGGCCGGGCAAGACCGGUGCCAGCCGCCGCGGUAACACCGGCGGCCCGAGUGGUAACCGCUUUUAUUGGGUCUAAAGGGUCUGUAGCCGGCCAAGUAAGUCCCUUGGGAAAUCUGGCAGCUCAACUGUCAGGCUGCUAGGGGAUACUGUUUGGCUUGGGACCGGGAGAGGUGAGAGGUACCUUGGGGGUAGGGGUGAAAUCUUGUGAUCCUCGAGGGACCACCAGUGGCGAAGGCGUCUCACCAGAACGGGUCCGACGGUAAGGGACGAAAGCUAGGGGCACGAACCGGAUUAGAUACCCGGGUAG